rnacentral:rRNA from 1 species
GGCAUGCCUAACACAUGCAAGUCGAACGAGACCUUCGGGUCUAGUGGCGCACGGGUGCGUAACGCGUGGGAAUCUGCCCUUAGGUUCGGAAUAACAGUGGGAAACUACUGCUAAUACCGGAUGAUGACGUAAGUCCAAAGAUUUAUCGCCUAGGGAUGAGCCCGCGUAGGAUUAGCUAGUUGGUGGGGUAAAGGCCUACCAAGGCGACGAUCCUUAGCUGGUCUGAGAGGAUGAUCAGCCACACUGGGACUGAGACACGGCCCAGACUCCUACGGGAGGCAGCAGUGGGGAAUAUUGGACAAUGGGCGAAAGCCUGAUCCAGCAAUGCCGCGUGAGUGAUGAAGGCCUUAGGGUUGUAAAGCUCUUUUACCCGGGAAGAUAAUGACUGUACCGGGAGAAUAAGCCCCGGCUAACUCCGUGCCAGCAGCCGCGGUAAUACGGAGGGGGCUAGCGUUGUUCGGAAUUACUGGGCGUAAAGCGUACGUAGGCGGCUUUUUAAGUUAGAGGUGAAAGCCCGGGGCUCAACUCCGGAAUUGCCUUUAAGACUGGAUCGCUUGAACGUCGGAGAGGUGAGUGGAAUUCCGAGUGUAGAGGUGAAAUUCGUAGAUAUUCGGAAGACACCAGUGGCGA